rnacentral:rRNA from 1 species
ACGAGGUAGAUAGGUUGGAGGUGGAAGUGCAGCAAUGCAUGGAGCUGACCAAUACUAAUCGGUCGAGGGCUUAUCCAA